rnacentral:rRNA from 1 species
CGUGAGGGAAAGGCGAAAAGAACCCCGGCGAGGGGAGUGAAAAAGAACCUGAAACCGUGUACGUACAAGCAGUGGGAGCCUCUUAAUGGGGUGACUGCGUACCUUUUGUAUAAUGGGUCAGCGACUUAUAUUCUGUAGCAAGGUUAACCGAAUAGGGGAGCCGAAGGGAAACCGAGUCUUAACUGGGCGUUAAGUUGCAGGGUAUAGACCCGAAACCCGGUGAUCUAGCCAUGGGCAGGUUGAAGGUUGGGUAACACUAACUGGAGGACCGAACCGACUAAUGUUGAAAAAUUAGCGGAUGACUUGUGGCUGGGGGUGAAAGGCCAAUCAAACCGGGAGAUAGCUGGUUCUCCCCGAAAGCUAUUUAGGUAGCGCCUCGUGAAUUCAUCUCCGGGGGUAGAGCACUGUUUCGGCAAGGGGGUCAUCCCGACUUACCAACCCGAUGCAAACUGCGAAUACCGGAGAAUGUUAUCACGGGAGACACACGGCGGGUGCUAACGUCCGUCGUGAAGAGGGAAACAACCCAGACCGCCAGCUAAGGUCCCAAAGUCAUGGUUAAGUGGGAAACGAUGUGGGAAGGCCCAGACAGCCAGGAUGUUGGCUUAGAAGCAGCCAUCAUUUAAAGAAAGCGUAAUAGCUCACUGGUCGAGUCGGCCUGCGCGGAAGAUGUAACGGGGCUAAACCAUGCACCGAAGCUGCGGCAGCGACACUAUGUGUUGUUGGGUAGGGGAGCGUUCUGUAAGCCUGUGAAGGUGGCCUGUGAGGGUUGCUGGAGGUAUCAGAAGUGCGAAUGCUGACAUAAGUAACGAUAAAGCGGGUGAAAAGCCCGCUCGCCGGAAGACCAAGGGUUCCUGUCCAACGUUAAUCGGGGCAGGGUGAGUCGACCCCUAAGGCGAGGCCGAAAGGCGUAGUCGAUGGGAAACAGGUUAAUAUUCCUGUACUUGGUGUUACUGCGAAGGGGGGACGGAGAAGGCUAUGUUGGCCGGGCGACGGUUGUCCCGGUUUAAGCGUGUAGGCUGGUUUUCCAGGCAAAUCCGGAAAACCAAGGCUGAGGCGUGAUGACGAGGCACUACGGUGCUGAAGCGACAAAUGCCCUGCUUCCAGGAAAAGCCUCUAAGCAUCAGGUAACAUCAAAUCGUACCCCAAACCGACACAGGUGGUCAGGUAGAGAAUACCAAGGCGCUUGAGAGAACUCGGGUGAAGGAACUAGGCAAAAUGGUGCCGUAACUUCGGGAGAAGGCACGCUGAUAUGUAGGUGAAGCGACUUGCUCGUGGAGCUGAAAUCAGUCGAAGAUACCAGCUGGCUGCAACUGUUUAUUAAAAACACAGCACUGUGCAAACACGAAAGUGGACGUAUACGGUGUGACGCCUGCCCGGUGCCGGAAG